rnacentral:misc_RNA from 1 species
AACUUUCAGCAAUGGAUCACUUGGUUCUGGCAUCGAUGAAGAACGCAGCGAAAUGCGAUAAGUAAUGUGAAUUGCAUAAUUCAGUGAAUCAGCGAAUCUUUGAACGCACAUUGCGCCCGCCAGGAUUCUGGCGGGCAUGCCUGUUCGAGCGUCAUUUCAACCCUCAAGCCCCAGCGGCCUGGUGUUGGGGACCGGCGACCUCGCUGACGCCCUUCUUGGGCCCAGCCUCCGCCGCCCCCGAAAUGAAUUGGCGGUCUCGUCGCGGCCUCCUCUGCGUAGUAGCACAACCUCGCAACAGGAGCGCGACGCGGCCACUGCCGUAAAACGCCCAACUUUUUUCGAGUCGACCUCGGAUCAGGUAGGAAUACCCGCUGAACUUAAGCAUAUCAAUAAGCGGAGGCU